ensembl:lncRNA
GGGGGUAGUUUAAUGGAGGGUAGUUUAGUGGGGGGAGCUUUAGUGGAGGGUAGUUUAGUGGAGCGUAGUUUAGUGGGGGGUAGUUUAAUGGAGGGUAGUUUAGUCGGGGUAGUUUAGUGGAGGGUAGUUUAAUGGAGGGUAGUUUAGUUGGGAUAGUUUAGUGGGGGGUAGUUUAGUGGAGGGUAGUUUAAUGGAGUGUAGUUUAAUGUAGGGUAGUUUAGUGGAGGGCAGAAAAUAAAGGGAGAGGCUCAGAGGAGGCAGGGAAGACAACGUUGGAGGGAGAGAGUAUUCCUGAGCUCAUAGCCCUCAUUUUUUGGGCCGUUGUAAACCUAUUCAUGGUCCAGGGUUUGGACACCCCUUUUAUAGAUGUGGAUCCAGUGGAAUGUAGGGGAUAGUAUCACGGUUCAGGAUAACAGGAUUUUGGUGGCAGGUAGCCUAGUGGUUAGAGUGUUGGACUGGUAAUCGAAAGGUUGCAAGAUCGAAUCCCCG